CUCUCCAGUUUUCAGAACAAUGAGAAAGCACACAAUGUCCUCUCAGAGCUGUUAGCUCCCUCCUAGUGUUCCUUCUCUCUGCUCUCUCACUGAAAGAAUGUUCAGCUUUCUGCAUAGCUUCUGGCCUCCCUUGUGUCUAGGUGUAGCCACAUGACUUGCUCCAUUCUGGUCCCUGAGACAUGAUAGGAUGGAAUAUGGCCUGUUCUCUCCUUCCUGCUUGCAGAAACAGAGAGGGGACGUUAGAGGAGCCUGACUAGUGAUCUCAGACUCUGAGACGGGAGGUGCUUCACGAGGAUGACUGAACCGACAAAAGUUGUCUGCGUCCUCAUGCUGUGGAGCUGCCUUAGCCACUCGAGGCGGCUCACGUUUGGACUGAGACGAAAGAAAUAAACUUCAGUCUUGAAGGAAGUAACCUUCCCUGGGCUUGCUACUGCACGUGCCUGAAGACCUCUCUAGAGACAGAUUUCCUACAGCUGAAGCCUGUGUUACUGUCCAGUAGUACACAUGAGCAACAUAAGACUGCAUCUACCAUAAAACCAGAAAACUUACAAGAAGUGUCAGCCAUUUCGAAUCUGUGUUUGUCUCAAUUGAGUUUUAUAGGAGUGGUGAUUAGAAAAAGAUCAUAUAAUAAAACAUGCCUGUAGUGUAAUUA